GAUUAACGCGAAGAACCUUACCUGGGUUUGACAUCUCCUGACAUCCGUAGAGAUACGGCUUCUGUAGCAAUACAGCAGGAAGACAGGUGCUGCAUGGCUGUCGUCAGCUCGUGUGGUGACAUGUUGGGUUAAGUCCCGCAACGAGCGCAACCCUUGUCUCUAGUUGCCAGCAUUCAGUUGGGCUCUCUAGAGAGACUGCCGUGGUUAACACGGAGGAAGGUGGGGAUGACGUCAAGUCCUCAUGGCCUUUAUAUCCAGGGCGACACACGUGAUACAAUGGACGGUACAGAGGGAAGCGAACCCGCGAGGGGGAGCUAAUCUCAAAAAGCCGUUCUCAGUUCGGAUUGGAGUCUGCAACUCGACUCCAUGAAGUUGGAAUCGCUAGUAUCGCGGAUCAGCACGCCGCGGUGAAUACGUUCCCGGGCCUUGUACACACCGAAUCACUAGU
rnacentral:rRNA from 1 species